AUCGAACGCUGGCGGCAGGCCUAACACAUGCAAGUCGAACGUGUGGCGGGCGGGUGAGGACUGUCUGGGAAAAUGCUCGUAGGCUGGGGAUAACUACUGGAUACGGCAGCUAAUACCGCAUACCAUCGGCUUUGGCCAGAUGCGGGUAGCUAGAGGGUGGGGUAACGGCUCACCUAGGCGACGAUCCAUAGCCGGUCUGAGAGGAUGACCGGCCACACUGGGACUGAGACACGGUCCAGACUCCUACGGGAGGCAGCAGUGGGGAAUAUUGCACAAUGGGCGCAAGCCUGAUGCAGCCAUGCCGCGUGUGUGAAGAAGGCCUUCGGGUUGUAAAGUACUGUCGGCGGGGAAGCGGUACUCAACGAGGAAGCAACGGCUAACUCCGUGCCAGCAGCCGCGGUAAUAC
rnacentral:rRNA from 1 species